rnacentral:rRNA from 1 species
AUAAGCACUUGUUGUUUUUUUUCGUGUUCACGAGUGAAGUAAUAUUAGAAAUAACUUUGAAAUUUAGUUGAGUAGUAUCAUUUGGAAACUUUUGUGUGUGACUUUAGCUGACAAGUAUUGUGAAAGAAAGUUGAAAUAAUUUGAAAAUUUAAUGGUGGGAAAGUAAAAAUUAGUGUGUGUACCUUGUGUAUCAGGGAUCACUAAAAUAAAUUAACAAAUUUAAUGGUCCCGAAAGAGAAAUAGCUAAAAAUAAAUGUUUGUUUUGGUUGUAAACAGAUUUAUAAUUUUUUUUUAGUGAUGAGAUAUCAACCGGGUUCUCUUAUAUCUGGUUUCCUAAGAAGCGAAUUUAAUUCGAUGGUUCCUCUGAAGAUGGGGAGGUAGUAACUGCGGGAGGGAAAAGCUUUUCGUGGGGUGUAGGUAGCAUGAAUAGAUAGGUAGUAUACAUUUGAGCUAGGCUUGAAAGUAGCCAAGUUUGUAAAGUGUUUAAACUAAAGCAAAUUUUGAUAUUAUUUUUAUAGUUUCUGUUAGUUGUAUUAGGAAAUAAUCUAAAUCGUUUUUAGAUUAGUUAAAAUGGUGGUAUUAGUAUAGGGGUUUUUGGUUUAAUUAAAAUAAAAUAUAGGGCGGAUUUUUAAAAUUUAUUGGUGUCUAAAAGGAACUCGGCAAAUAAGUACUUUCGCCUGUUUAUCAAAAACAUGUCUUCUUGGUAAUUUAUAUGAAGUCUAGCCUGCCCGUUGACAUAAAGUUGAAAGGCCGCGGUAUAAUGACCGUGCGAAGGUAGCAUAAUGAUUUGUUCUUUAAUUGGGGACUGGUAUGAAGGGUUGAGCGAAAAGUAAGCUGUCUCUUUUUCAAAUCUUGAAUUUAACAUUUAAGUGAAAAGGCUUAAAUAAGUUAGGGGGACGAUAAGACCCUAUAAAUCUUAGAUUUUUUUCAUAGUUAGCUUGAAGUUUGUUGUAAUAAUUUAAGUUAACUAUGAAAAAAAUUUUGUUGGGGCGACAGGAGUAUAAAAGUAACUGCUUUAGAUUUUUAUUUGAUUAUAUUCAGCUUGAUGGAUUUAGCGACCCCAUUUAAGGGUAUUAGAAUAAGUUACUUUAGGGAUAACAGCGUAAUCUUUUCUGAGAGUCCAUAUCGAAGAAAAGGGUUGCGACCUCGAUGUUGAAUUAAAGAUCCUCCACGGUGCAGGAGUUGUGGCAGGAGGUCUGUUCGACCUUUAAAUCUUUACAUGAUUUGAGUUCAGACCGGCGUGAGCCAGGUCGGUUUCUAUCUCUUAUAUAUAUGUGAAACUAUCUUAGUACGAAAGGAUUAGGUAGUUGGGAGAGUCCCAAUAAUUUUAUGGAU